CCAGUCAAUAGGCUCAUCAGUGAGGGAACGGAUGGGACCGAGUGAUGUACAACUCACAUGGGGAGGCACUAGACAAAAGUAACUAUUGAUUUCACAAAGGUACUCAGCUAGUUGUCUUCUCAAGGGUCCCAUGGCAUCUUUGUCAAUAAUUGAUCCCUCGUAGGUCCUCCAUUCAUAUUCAGUAUUUUGGGUCAAGAGAAGUCCAUUGGGCCUUCUAGAGAAAGGCCUAUGAAAAAUGAACAAGGUCCUGAUGUUGGGCUGAGUAGCGAUGGGCCUGUCUUCUAUUCCAUGGGUGUCUAUGAUGCGCUUCAGGCUGUAGCGCCAUGCUGAAAUGGGCUUGAACCAUUCUAGAAAUCUGGACAGGAGAGUCCUGUUAGUAUUGUUCAUAACAUACUGAUACAGGGCCAUGAGGGGGAAUUCCAGUCCUGUGGAAUAGAGUGUAACCAUGCACCAGAGGAGCCAUAGUUCUUCCAGGAUGAGUUCUCUGCCAGGGUGGAUACUGAAACAGGUGAGGAAAGGGUUGUUAGGGAUAAAGACAGUCGAGAAGGGGAGUAAUCCCCUUAGGGUGUUUCUUGCACUCAGGUAGUGAAACAGAUGAUCUCUUGCGAACUUAGCCAUCUUUGUGAUAGGCUGGUUAGGUGAACAUCCUGGAGGAAAACUGUCUGAAGUAGGAACCAAAAAAUUGUGCAUUAGAGAAGGAGUAUGUGGAGAGGAUGAAGAUGAUGCCAUGAGGAUCAAGGGGAGUGUAGAGGAAGAUUGGAUUAGGUGGAGGGUUUUUGGCUUGAAUAGGAGGUUAGGAACCAAGUUGUGCUUCCUUUUGAUAUGCUGGACUGUGAAUUUAUACUUGGCGAACCAGUCUUUAAGCCUCAGUAAUUGUGGUUCAGGAAAAGACUUGUUUUUGAAGUCUAGAACCUUUGGG
rnacentral:misc_RNA from 1 species